CCUACGGGUGGCAGCAGUAGGGAAUUUUCGGCAAUGGGGGGAACCCUGACCGAGCAACGCCGCGUGAACGAAGACGUUAUUCGUAAUGUAAAGUUCUUUUAACAGGGAAGAAAGAGAAAUUUGACGGUACCUGAAGAAUAAGCUCCGGCUAACUACGUGCCAGCAGCCGCGGUAAUACGUAGGGAGCGAGCGUUAUCCGGAAAUAUUGGGCGUAAAGGGUGCGUAGAGGGCAUAGAAAGUCUUUUGGAAAAAUGCUGGGCUAAACCCAGUAGGGCAAAAGAUACUGCAAAGCUAGAGUAUGACAGAGGCAAGGGGAAGGACAUGUGUAGCGGUGAAAUGCGUAGAUAUAUGGAAGAACACCAGUGGCGAAGGCGGCUUGCUGGGUCGAUACUGACAUUGAGGCACGAAAGCGUGGGGAGCAAACAGGAUUAGAUACCCCUGUAGUC
rnacentral:rRNA from 1 species